rnacentral:rRNA from 1 species
AAGGUGUGGCUGGAUCACCUCCUUU